UACAGGGGGUGCAAACGUUGCUCGGAAUCAUUGGGCGUAAAGCGCACGUAGGCGGUCUGUUAUGUCGGAUGUGAAAGCCCUUGGCUCAACUGAGGAAGUGCAUCCGAAACUGGCAGGCUAGAGUACUAAAGAGGAUCGCGGAAUUCCCGGUGUAGAGGUGAAAUUCGUAGAUAUCGAGAGGAACACCUGCGGCGAAGGCGGGUUGCUGGGCUGACACUGACGCUGAGGCGCGAAGGCCAGGGGAGCAAACGGG
rnacentral:rRNA from 1 species